GCCAAGCGAAACUGCUCAACCUCGGCCAGUGCAGCUCGCACUACAAAAAUGUGCGUAGCUUUUCUAACCAGUUUUCAAGUUUUCCAGAAAUCCUCCCUUCAGACAAAAAUCCUGGGUGCGCCGAUGGACAGGAGGAAAAAAGAAGCCCCUCAAAACCGCAAAAAAGGAAAAGAAGGAGUUGGACGAGAGCGACCUAGACUUCAAACAGCGACAGAAAGAGGAACAGAAGGCCCUCAAAGAGGCUGCCGCCAAAGCUG